rnacentral:rRNA from 1 species
AUGUCGACCGGCCGGUCGAUUUCUGCCGGGAAGCUGCGCCACCGCACUCGAGUUUUUGUGGUGGCGCAGGACUCCGGCGAGGUGGGCAACCUCGUCUUCAAAAUCAAUCUCAAGCAUCUCUUCUCCCCCUCCCCCUCCCCCUCCCAGCCGGAGGGAGUGGAAGUGGAACCCCAUGCCCAAGCCCAGCUCGAGGCCGUCGCGUGCUUCAAGCAAGUCGACCAAUUCGAGAGCAUGGCGUUCGCCGCCUCUGCAUCUGGUGACGUCAUCGUCGCCGCUAACUACGCCGACAGCGGCCGGACCCUGAUCUACGACGCCGCCGCCGGCGGCGUCUCCCCCGGCCCGGAGAUGCGCUCCGUCAAGCAGCACCUGUUCCUCGUCCCGGUCGGAGACCGCAUGUUCUUCGCCAUGUCCGCCUACUCGCGCCUGGACUUCCCCCGGGGGGGACCCUGGUUCGAGGCUCUGCAGCAGCGGCCCCUCCCCGGCGGCGGCGGCCGCUGGGCCUGGAGCGCCCUUCCUGACCCGCCCGGCAUCGCUCGUGGCCGGAGGGAGGACGUCAGGGCCUACUUCGUCGCGGGCGCGCGUGUCUGGAUCUCCCUGCACCUCCAGGGCACCUAUUCAUUCGACACGGCGCGCCAACGGUGGCGCAAGGAGGGCGCGUGGGAGCUGCCCGUGGAGGGCCGGGCAUUCCUGGUGCCCGACUUUCUGGGCAGCGGCCGGCGGCUGCUGUUCGGCAUCUGCUCCUCCUGGGGGAAUCGCCACUUCUGUGCCGUCGACAUGGACGCCAGGCCGCCGGCGAUCCUCAGGUCCUGGCCUGAGGCACGGCCCACCGUCGCGCGGGCCGCGGGAUAUGUAGGAUGCUCCUUCCUCCCCGAGGUGAGCUACUUUGGGGGCGGCAGGUUUUGCAUUUCGAUGACGAAUCAGACCAAAGGGGAGAAUCGACGCAGCGUCGUCUCCUUCAAGGCCGUCGAGGUCACCGCCGAGCUGCAGCUGAUCGAACGCCGGUCCAGCCUCUACUUGAUGCCACAAAGCUCACGCGGGUCGCCCGCUGAUGUAAUCUAG